UUUGUACACUAUUGUAGUUCCGGCUUCAAAGAACUUUUUUCGGUCUCUUUUAGAGCAAUUUUUACAUAUGCUUAAAGUUCUUUCCCCGUUUUUAAAGGCUUUCCUGUUCGAACUUCGGGAGAGAGUACAUCCUUUAAUUAUAAUUUUGUUAACCUUAAUUAUUGCGUCUGGUCCUUUCGUACCCUUUUUCAUAAGAAGAUUUAUUCAAACAAAGAAAAAAGUUUUUUUUCGCGUGAAAAAGCUUGGUACAGCCUUAAUAGGGAAAUUUAAAAGUUUUAGCACAAAUUUAUUUUCAAUCGCCUGUCAUC